rnacentral:lncRNA from 1 species
GCCGCGCUGAUCAGUUCAAGUGCGCCAACGGCCGCUGCAUACGCGAGACGCUGCGGUGCGACGGACGCAACAACGGAUACUUUGACUGUGGCGACGACAGCGACGAGCGCGACUGCUGCACCGGCGAACACUUCAGGUGCAGCGACGGCAGAUGCAUCCACAAGCGUAAUGAAUGCGACGGCUGGAACAACUGCCUGGACAGGAGUGAUGAGAAGCAUUGCCCGUGCCGCUUCUCUGAUUGGUUCAAGUGCGCCGACACCGGCCGCUGCAUAGAGGAGUGGAAGCGGUGCGACGGACACAACGACUGUUGGUACGGCGACGACAGCGA